GACGAACGCUGGCGGCGUGCUUAACACAUGCCAGUCGAACGGAAAGGCCCCUUUGGGGGUCCUCGAGUGGCGCACGGGUGAGUAACACGUGAGUAACCUGCCCUUGACUUCGGGAUAACUUCAGGAAACUGGGGCUAAUACCGGAUAGGAAUCCUUGCUGCAUGGUGGGGGUUGUAAAGCUUCGGCGGUUUUGGAUGGACUCGCGGCUUAUCAGCUUGUUGGUGGGGUAGUGGCUUACCAAGGCUUUGACGGGUAGCCGGCCUGAGAGGGCGACCGGCCACAUUGGGACUGAGAUACGGCCCAGACUCCUACGGGAGGCAGCAGUGGGGAAUAUUGCACAAUGGGCGGAAGCCUGAUGCAGCAACGCCGCGUGCGGGAUGACGGCCUUCGGGUUGUAAACCGCUUUCAGCAGGGGCGAAGCUUUUGUGACGGUACCUGCAGAAGAAGCACCGGCUAACUACGUG
rnacentral:rRNA from 1 species